rnacentral:rRNA from 1 species
AACGCGAAGAACCUUACCUGGGUUUGAAAUCGUGUCGAAUACUGCAGAGAUGUAGUAGUCCCGCAAGGGACGGCAUGACAGGUGCUGCAUGGCUGUCGUCAGCUCGUGCCGUGAGGUGUUGGGUUAAGUCCCGCAACGAGCGCAACCCUUAUUCUUAGUUGCCAUCAGGUAAAGCUGGGCACUCUGGGGAGACUGCCGGCAUAAGUCGGAGGAAGGUGGGGAUGACGUCAAGUCAGCAUGGCCCUUACAUCCAGGGCUACACACGUGCUACAAUGGCCGAUACAAAGGGCUGCUAAACCGCGAGGUGGAGCGAAUCCCAAUAAAGUCGGUCUCAGUUCGGAUUGCAGGCUGAAACUCGCCUGCAUGAAGUCGGAAUCACUAGUAACCGCAGAUCAGCCACGCUGCGGUGAAUACGUUCCCGGGCCUUGUACACACCGGCUAC